ACGCAAUGUGCUAAGAUCGUAGAGAAGUUCGGCUUCUGUCACCUGUCUUCCGGGGAUCUUUUGCGGGAAGAGGUAGCUUCCGGUUCAGAGCGAGGCGCCAAGCUGAAGGAUGUCAUGGCCAGAGGAGAGCUGGUGUCCAUGGACGACGUAUUACAACUGAUGUGCGAUGCAAUGAAAAAGAAGAUUUCGGAAACGAAGUGUUUUUUAAUCGACGGGUACCCUCGAGAACUUGAACAGGGGACUAGGUUUGAGAAAGAGAUCGUGCCAUGUGUCGGGGUGCUGUACUUUGACGUAUCGGACGAGACGAUGACGAGUCGUCUGCUGAAGCGAGGAGAGACGAGUGGUCGCGUGGAUGACAACGAGGAGACGAUCAAGAAGAGGCUGCAGACGUUCCACAACCAGACCAAACCGGUCAUCGACUACUACAGCCAGCAGGACAAAGUCUGCAAGAUCCCCGCCGAGGGUUCAGAGAAGGAUAUUUUCGCGGAGGUUGAGAAAUAUGUGAGCUCCCACAAGUGGUGAACAAGGACUUGUAUAAACUGUUUCUCGCAAUGUAAUGGCCGAUUAUCUACCGUGCUUGGCCUUUAUCCAGCUUGCAGAGACCCAUGUUGUUAUUCAUUACUAACAUUUAUACAAUUUUUUUAUUCUAAUUAAACAAUGAUUAAUGUU
rnacentral:misc_RNA from 1 species